rnacentral:rRNA from 1 species
GACGAACGCUGGCGGCGUGCUUAACACAUGCGAGUCGAACGGAAAGGCCCUGCUUUUGUGGGGUGCUCGAGUGGCGAACGGGUGAGUAACACGUGAGUAACCUGCCCUUGACUUUGGGAUAACUUCAGGAAACUGGGGCUAAUACCGGAUAGGAGCUCCUGCUGCAUGGUGGGGGUUGGAAAGUUUCGGCGGUUGGGGAUGGACUCGCGGCUUAUCAGCUUGUUGGUGGGGUAGUGGCUUACCAAGGCUUUGACGGGUAGCCGGCCUGAGAGGGUGACCGGCCACAAUGGGACUGAGGUACGGCGCAGACUCGUACGGGAGGCAGCAGUGGGAAAUAUUGGACAAUGGGCGGAAGCCUGAUGCAGCAACGCCGCGUGCGGGAUGACGGCCUUGGGGUGGUAAACCGCUUUCGCCUGUGACGAAGCGUGAGUGACGGUAAUGGGUAAAGAAGCACCGGAUAACUACGUG